rnacentral:tRNA from 1 species
GAGGGUAUAGCUCAAGUGGUAGAGUGCAUGCUUAGCAUGCACAAGGUCCUGGGUUCAAUCCCCAGUACCUCUU